rnacentral:rRNA from 1 species
CCUAGUGACGGGUAGCGUUAACCACGAAAGGGAACGGCGUAACUACGUGCCAGCAGCCGCGGUAAUACGUAGGUCCCGAGCGUUGUCCGGAGUUUAUUGGGCGUAAAGCGAGCGCAGGCGGUUUGAUAAGUCUGAAGUUAAAGGACUGUGGCUCAACCAUAGUUCGCUUUGGAAACUGUCAAACUUGAGUGCAGAAGGGGAGAGUGGAAUUCCAUGUGUAGCGGUGAAAUGCGUAGAUAUAUGGAGGAACACCGGUGGCGAAAGCGGCUCUCUGGUCUAUAACUGACGCUGAGGCUCGAAAGCGUGGGGAGCGAACAGGAUUAGAUACCCUGGUAGUCCACGCCGUAAACGAUGAGUGCUAGGUGUUGGAUCCUUUCCGGGAUUCAGUGCCGCAGCUAACGCAUUAAGCACUCCGCCUGGGGAGUACGACCGCAAGGUUGAAACUCAAAGGAAUUGACGGGGGCCCGCACAAGCGGUGGAGCAUGUGGUUUAAUUCGAAGCAACGCGAAGAACCUUACCAGGUCUUGACAUCCCGAUGCUAUUUCUAGAGAU